AUUGAACGCUGGCGGCAUGCCUUACACAUGCAAGUCGAACGGUAACAGGUCUUCGGAUGCUGACGAGUGGCGAACGGGUGAGUAAUACAUCGGAACGUGCCCGAUCGUGGGGGAUAACGCAGCGAAAGCUGUGCUAAUACCGCAUACGAUCUACGGAUGAAAGCGGGGGAUCGCAAGACCUCGCGCGGACGGAGCGGCCGAUGGCAGAUUAGGUAGUUGGUGGGAUAAAAGCUUACCAAGCCGACGAUCUGUAGCUGGUCUGAGAGGACGACCAGCCACACUGGGACUGAGACACGGCCCAGACUCCUACGGGAGGCAGCAGUGGGGAAUUUUGGACAAUGGGCGCAAGCCUGAUCCAGCCAUGCCGCGUGCAGGAUGAAGGCCCUCGGGUUGUAAACUGCUUUUGUACGGAACGAAAAAGCUCUCUCUAAUACAGGGGGUGAAUGACGGUACCGUAAGAAUAAGCACCGGCUAACUACGUG
rnacentral:rRNA from 1 species